rnacentral:rRNA from 1 species
UCGAGAAUCUUCCGCAAUGGACGAAAGUCUGACGGAGCGACGCCGCGUGCGGGAUGAAGGCCUUCGGGUUGUAAACCGCUGUCAGAGGGGAACAAAUCAUUGGGGGUUCUCCCCCAGUGUUGAGUGAUCCUCAGAGGAAGUACGGGCUAAGUUCGUGCCAGCAGCCGCGGUAACACGAACCGUACGAACGUUAUUCGGAAUCACUGGGCUUAAAGAGUGCGUAGGCGGCUUGGCAGGUUGGGUGUGAAAUCCCUCGGCUCAACCGAGGAACUGCGCUCAAAACCGCCAAGCUUGAGUGAGAUAGGGGAGAGCGGAACUAAUGGUGGAGCGGUGAAAUGCGUUGAUAUCAUUAGGAACACCAGUGGCGAAGGCGGCUCUCUGGGUCUCCACUGACGCUGAGGCACGAAGGCUAGGGGAGCGAACGGGAUUAGAUACCCCCGUAGUCC